CCGUGAUUCCCUCAGUCAGCGGCGAGCGAAGAGGGACCGAACUCGACGCCGAAUCGGGCUUCAUAGAGCCUUGAGUUGUGGCGAGCUUUUUCGUGAUUGGUGUGGGAGUGGCGAAAUUCAAUGUGCAAAGCAAACCCAUUGCUGAACACAACCCUUCAUGUGAGUAUUGAGCCAAAGAAGGUGACAGCCCAUUGAGCCAUAAACCCGAGCACCUCACUAAAGAGUACCAAGCGAGUAGCGCUUCUUGGGAGUGAAGCGUCAAUCGGCAGGUAUGUGUCUGCCAAGGUUAAAUAUAGAGUAGGAAGACCGAUAUCGAACAAGUAGCGUGAGCGAAAGUUUGAAAAGCACUUUGGAAAGAGAGUGACAUAGAACCUGAAGUCGUGACAAUGGCAAUGGAAGCAUCUCCAUUUGAUCGCCAAAACCAGCCUCUCAGCAUCAUCCGCCUCGGACUUCGCGCCUUGGCGGCAACGAAUGCAGACCCGAGGUUUGGUGACAUGAGCGGAGCUAAAGUGGGACGCACUGCCUAGCAGCGAGCGCCCUCUUCUCCGUGACCUCAAUGUUGGCGCAAGGCAAUGGGAUGCCUUCACCCGUCUUGAAACACGGACCAAGGAGUCAAACAGACACGCAAGAGGGAGGAUAUUGUUAACAGUACUUCUCUCGUACUGAAAGGGUGAUACCUGGUAUCAUGGUGUGCACACAAAUGAAUGCCCAACACCAACCGGCCCGUACGCGGGUUGAGUUUGAGUGUGCCUGUUUGGACCCGAAAGGUGGUGAACUAUGCCUGAACAAGGUGAAGCCCGGGGAAACCCAGGUGGAGGCCUGUAGCGAUGCUGACGUGCAAAUCGCUCGCAAGAUUUAGGUAUCGGAGCGAAAGACUCAUCGAACCACCUAGUAGCUGGUUCACGUCGAAGUUUCCCUCAGGAUAGCUGGUGCUAGAACUACAUGAUUAGUAUUGUGCGGUAAAGCAAAUGAUUAGAGGUAUUGGUGUUCUUAGAGUAUCGACCUAUUCUCAAACUUUAAAUGUGCAAACAAUCCGGUCUUUGCCAAGUUCGGAAGGCCGGAAAGACAGAAUUAAGGCACCAAGUGGGCCUUCUUCGGUAAGCGGAGCAGGCGAUGCGGAAUGAACCGCUUAGGGAUAUGUGGCGUCUAAACUUU
rnacentral:rRNA from 1 species